rnacentral:tRNA from 4 species
UCCGCGAUAGCUCAGCUGGUAGAGCGUUCGACUGUUAAUCGAAUGGUCGCAGGUUCGAGCCCUGCUCGCGGAGCCA